UACAGAGGUCCCAAGCGUUGUUCGGAUUCAUUGGGCGUAAAGGGCUCGUAGGCGGUUUGUCGCGUCGGGAGUGAAACCCAGGGCUUAACCCUGGGCUGGCUUCCGAUACGGGCAGACUAGAGGUAUGCAGGGGAGAACGGAAUUCCCGGUGUAGAGGUGAAAUUCGUAGAUAUCGGGAGGAACACCAGUGGCGAAGGCGGCGAUCUGGGCUGUUACUGACGCUGAGGUGCGAAAGCGUGGGGAGCAAACAGGG
rnacentral:rRNA from 1 species